GAAAAAUCAAAGACAAAGUAAAGAAACUUAACAUUUGUACGUUUGAACGCCAGUAGGCACGGCUCCAGGAGCUCCUUCCGCUGAGAAAAUAAUUUCUAAAAUCGACGUGUUAUUAACUAUUUUAACCUCAAUUCAAUGUUGUGUAUUUUUUUGUAACUUAGUAUUAUUUUUCUCAUUUAAAUUGAGUUAGCUGUUUUAAAACCGCAAGAUGCUCCAAGAUAAGAACUGUCAACAAGUUGGUGCUGCCCUCGUCGCGCCAGAUCGCAAAUCGGCAUUUACAAAACCAGGCAAUGACCCUUUGUCCUUUACAAGCUAGUACUAGCUAGAGUACUCAUUGUUUAAAUUGACGAAUAAAAUAUUGUUGAUAUGAAAAAGACAACACAGGUUUUAAAUCAGGCAUCGACACAGGCAGGCAGUCAGUUCGCUUCCUUCCCGUUGAACGGAGAAACGAAGGGGGGGGGUUGUGUGUGUGUGUGUGUGUGUCAAGAGCGUCAGGAGGAAAACAACCAAGAACCCGGCCAAAGGUGAUCGCCAAGGCCGAAAGACGAGAUGGAAAACAACAGCCCUCACACACACACCGAAUCACCCAUAAUCAGCACCCACCCCCACGGAACCAGCUCUCACCGAACCAGCACCCACUCCCAUGGAACCAUGUGAACUUGCCACGCCCCCUGACUGAUCACCCAUCAAACUCGGCCCACACUGGCAUGUGCAACUGAAUGUAAGCUGACCAAAGAACCUUGAACGUUGCCUUUUCUGAAUGGAGACUUUCUGCUCAUGAGCAUGGUCGCAUAAAAGGCCCAGCGCUGUAUUGUCCUUUCCUGAAAACAGAGCUUUCUUAACAAUUGUGACUGAACUCAACCAACCUGUGUAAGUCAAAAUUUAGUUUCGGUGUCUUAGCCUUUUCCUAAAACUGAAGAAAUAAAACGAGCACGCCUUUUCUUUAUUUAUUUCCAGGUCACGUUGACUCUGGAGCUUUACGUGUAGCUUGCUAGUUUAAUGUAACUUAGCGCUUUGUCCAUGAAUAAAAUUAGCAUGAAGAGACCCUCAUCAUGGAAAAGGCUAGAAGAAAUGCAUAAGAGUGACAACGAAAGAGUGUGACUAAGUAUAUCUGAUGCUAUUCCAAUCUGACACUGAGGAGGUGGUUUCAGUGCACAGGAGGAAGAUGAAGAUGGCUCUUAGUGACUUUUACUAGUAUUUUUUUUUUUAACCAGCCCUGUUAGUGCUGUGCUACCGUGUUGCUGUUUUGUUACCGCCGCAUCUCAGUGACUUUUACCGAUAUGUUUUUUUUUUAUCCAGCCCUAUUAGUGCAGUGUUACUUCUGUGUUGCUGCGGUAUUACUGCCGCGUUACAGGCAGUGUUUGGAAAGAAAUGUUAAGGUAUGUUAUUAAAAGUUGAAAAAGGC